UUUGAGUCUACACGGCGGCAGGUAUCCUACAUGGAGGAAAGAGAACGUGCAUAAAAAAUCGAGCCAGCGACUCUUUCGUCGCUCGUCUCACACACACCACGAUGCGCUAAAUCGCCGGCCUCCUCGCCUUCUACCAGCUAUUCUUCCGGCGAUUUCGCUCGGAUUCGGAUCCGCUGCGCGCGCAGAGCUCUCUCCCCCCAUCCCGCGGUGUGCAAAUCCUCCCCUUUCUCCCGCGUCCACUGCGCGCGGAAAUCCUUUCCCAAUCUAGCUGCUCCCGCCCUCGACUCUUCCGAUUUAUUUCUAGAGCCCGCGAAACCAAGGUACGUGAUUCAAAGAUCUGAAAUCCAUUUGUCUCUUGUGGUGAUGAGCGGCCGGACAAAGCGAGCGAUGGCUUUUGGCGACUCUUCCUCAACGAUGCAGUUAGCUGUUCAAUUUUCUUUUGUGCCCUAAAAUAAUGAUGUAUGACUUGAGUUAUGGUUAUCAAUCAGUGCAUUAUGUAGUAACGGAUGGACAUUUAUUUUAUUUUAUUUCUAUGUUUAAAAUGUUUGGGUUGUACCCGUUACUUAUCUUUAGUUGGUCAUGAUUCAUGAAAUGAAAUGGCUUGGAUCAA